AGGGAAGCUGGUGAGGCCUCAGUGAAGGCCGAUGCCGGCACGGUCCCGCCACUGUAAGUGGGGAGCACCGUCCCGUUCCGCUCGGCGGAGCCACUGUCCGUGUUGCACGGAUGGGAAGGUGGGACGGUCGCGAAGAUCCACGAGUCAGGAGACCU
rnacentral:ncRNA from 2 species